GGUCUUCAGUCAAGGGUAUACGACUAGCUGUGCUCCCCUGAUAGAAUCUCAACACAAGCUCUCAAGGUGCACUUUAGGAAUAUAGGGUAGUCAAGCUUAUGGACUACCUGAAGAACUGUGGACCUUGGUGAGGGAUGGGUAAUCCAC
rnacentral:snRNA from 1 species